AUUGAACGCUGGCGGCAUGCCUAACACAUGCAAGUCGAGCGGAUGCAGGGAUCUUGCUCCUGGAUUCCGCGGCGGACGGGUGAGUAAUGCCUAGGAAUCUGCCUGCUAGUGUGGGAUAUCGUCCGGCAACGGGCGCUUAUACCGCAUACGUCCUGAGCGAGAAAGUGGGGGAUCUUCGGACCUCUCGCUCUCAGAUGAUCCUAGGUCGGAUUAGCUAGUUGGUGGGGUAAAGGCCUACCAAGGCGACGAUCCGUAACUGGUCUGAGAGGAUGAUCAGUCACACUGGAACUGAGACACGGUCCAGACUCCUACGGGAGGCAGCAGUGGGGAAUAUUGGACAAUGGGCGAAAGCCUGAUCCAGCAAUGCCGCGUGUGUGAAGAAGGUCUUCGGAUUGUAAAGCACUUUUAGUUGGGAGGAAGGGCAGUAAGUUAAUACCGUGCUGGGUUGACGGUACCAAAAGAAUAAGCACCGGCUAACUUCGUG
rnacentral:rRNA from 1 species